GAUCUGCAGGACGCUCCUUUAGUCGGCGCUGAUGGCAGGGUCUCCUUCUGUAGAUUGGCUCGUUUAUGUUGGAACCAGAGGAAAACGAAGGUUCUUCGGUACGGCUCACAGAUUCUGUUCUGCAAGUAUCAAAAUAUAAAAGUCCUGCUCUAAUAUUUUUGCUCCAUUGAGUCCAAUACAUUUGGAGCAAAACUAAUUCAAACACCUGUAUUAACAUCUGCAUACAGAACUUUUUUUUAUUAAUAUAAAAUUGAUUACCUGAACACGGAAAAGUUAGCAACUGGAACCACGUGAAACUGCUGACGCCUGUCACCAAUGUUUUACAAGCGACACCACGCUGAGGUUUUGUGCAAAACGUUUCGUCUUGUGGGCAAUGUGUAUACCCAUACAGCAGGGGGCGCUGCCAAGCUCAGAAUAACAAACCAGAGGUGCCGCCAAGCGGCCCAGUGUUGAACUUCUGGUUGACUUCGGACAUCCAGCUCAUAUUAAAUCACAAUAACAUCCCACCAACUCCUAAAGAUGCUCAAGUUAAAACCGUCCGUGCUAAAUAUGGUUUUAUGGUUUAACAGAAGUUAGAGCCAUUGGAGAAAUAUGAAACCAACAAGAUGAAGUUGACUUACAAAAAGAAAAAGAAAAGCUUUCUGCCUUUGAAUGAUUUUUAUUCAGCUGAAUUUGACAUUCUGUAUCAACAUUGGGGUAAUUCAUAAAUAUCUAGGGCUACAGUGCUGAAGACAGAGCAAGCAAACUAGAUUCGAGAGACCAUGUGGUAUUUAAUGUAAAGGUCAUUUUUAUAAGUCACUAGUGAUGGGUCUGGCAACACCGAUGCGUCGGCGCAUGCGUCCAGCCCACAGACCAAAACGUGUCGGUUUCAGCAAGUCACAUGACCGAAAUGACAUUAAAGCACCAAACUGUGUUUCUAAGGAAGCCAAUCUGUCAGAAGCAUUUGCCAAACGGAUUCUUGAUCUUUUACAGCAUCACCUAUGGAGCAGCUUCAGAGGAAAGGUUUCCUCAGUGUGGGAACAUUUUGAUCUCAUAUCGGAAAAUAAAUGUUUUCAUUUCGUUGUUUCAUCCGGUUCUUGUCAGUUUCUACUUGAUCUGAAUCCAAAUUCAGCUGAAACUCUUAUUUUACUUUCAUAUCAUGUUCUGUAGGUUAAGUGUCGCAUAUGUUUGACUAAACUGUCUUAUUUAAAUAAAUCCACCUCCUCAAUGCUGAGCCAUUAUGAGGCCAGGCAUGAGAAUGAAGUCCCAGAUGAACUCAGAAAUGCAGCCAUUCCACAAAUUACUGUUGCUUUUUAUAAAUUAUUUUAUAUACAGUGAUCAUAUACAGUGAGUGCCAAUAACGUUAUGGUAUUUAAUACAGAUUGGCCAUUCAGGAGAUGAAAACUGAAACUUUGAAUGCCAGCUGGAAAAAAA